rnacentral:rRNA from 1 species
UACGUAGGGAGCGAGCGUUGUCCGGAAUUAUUGGGCGUAAAGGGCUUGUAGGUGGCUUGUCGCGUCUGCCGUGAAAGGCUUCAGCUUAACUGGAGUAGUGCGGUGGGUACGGGCUGGCUUGAGUGUGGUAGGGGAGAUUGGAAUUCCUGGUGUAGCGGUGGAAUGCGCAGAUAUCAGGAGGAACACCGGUGGCGAAGGCGGAUCUCUGGGCCAUUACUGACACUGAGGAGCGAAAGCGUGGGGAGCGAACAGG